CCUACGGGUGGCAGCAGUAGGGAAUAUUGCUCAAUGGGCGAAACCCUGAACCAGCAACGCCGCGUGGAGGAUGAAGGUUUUCGGAUUGUAAACUCCUUUUGGUAGAGAAGAUAAUGACGGUAUCUAACGAAUAAGCACCGGCUAACCCCGUGCCAGCAGCCGCGGUAAUACGGAGGGUGCAAGCGUUACUCGGAAUCACUGGGCGUAAAGAGCGCGUAGGCGGGAUAGCAAGUCAGAUGUGAAAUCCUAGGGCUUAACCCUAGAACUGCAUUUGAAACUGUUAGUCUCGAGUAUGGGAGAGGUAGGUGGAAUUCUUGGUGUAGCGGUAAAAUCCGUAGAGAUCACGAGGAAUACUCAUUGCGAAGGCGACCUGCUAGAUCCUAACUGACGCUGAUGCGCGAAAGCGUGGGGAGCAAACAGGAUUAGAUACCCGGGUAGUC
rnacentral:rRNA from 1 species